rnacentral:rRNA from 1 species
AGUACGGCGAGUGAAGCGGGAAAAGCUCAAAUUUAAAAUCUGGCAGUCUACGAUUGUCCGAAUUGUAAUCUCGAGAAGUGUUUUCCGCGUUGGCCUGUGCACAAGUCCCUUCGGAACAGGGCGUCAUAGAGGGUGAGAAUCCCGUCCUUGGCACAGACACCCAAUGCUUUGUGAUACACUCUCAAUGAGUCGAGUUGUUUGGGAAUGCAGCUCAAAAUGGGAGGUAAAUUCCUUCUAAAGCUAAAUACUGGCGAGAGACCGAUAGCGAACAAGUACCGUGAGGGAAAGAUGAAAAGCACUUUGGAAAGAGAGUCAAACAGUACGUGAAAUUGUUGAAAGGGAAACGAUUGAAGUCAGUCGUGCUAGCCUGGAUCCAGCCUUAUGGUGUAUCUCCAGGUCGGCAGGUCAGCAUCAGUUUGGGAGGGUUAACAAGGGAGUUAGGAAUGUGGCAACCUCGGUUGUGUUAUAGCCUAGCUUCGCAUUGAUCCUGCUGGACUGAGGAACGCAGUGCGCCCGCAAGGGUUGGUCUUCGGACACAUUCGCACUUAGGAUGCUGGCAUAAUGGCUUUAAACGACCCGU